rnacentral:rRNA from 1 species
UUAGGGUUGUAAAGCUCUUUCAGCUGGGAAGAUAAUGACGGUACCAGCAGAAGAAGCCCCGGCUAACUCCGUGCCAGCAGCCGCGGUAAUACGGAGGGGGCUAGCGUUGUUCGGAAUUACUGGGCGUAAAGCGCACGUAGGCGGACCGGAAAGUUGGAGGUGAAAUCCCAGGGCUCAACCUUGGAACUGCCUUCAAAACUAUCGGUCUGGAGUUCGAGAGAGGUGAGUGGAAUUCCGAGUGUAGAGGUGAAAUUCGUAGAUAUUCGGAGGAACACCAGUGGCGAAGGCGGAUCUCUGGGCCGAUACUGACGCUGAGGUGCGAAAGCGUGGGGAGCAAACAGGAUUANAUACCCUGGUAGUCCAAGGGCGAAU